rnacentral:rRNA from 1 species
AGAACGAACGCUGGCGGCAUGCCUAACACAUGCAAGUCGAACGAGACCUUCGGGUCUAGUGGCGCACGGGUGCGUAACGCGUGGGAAUCUGCCCUUGGGUUCGGGAUAACAGUUGGAAACGACUGCUAAUACCGGAUGAUGUCUUCGGACCAAAGAUUUAUCGCCCAAGGAUGAGCCCGCGUAGGAUUAGCUUGUUGGUGAGGUAAGAGCGCACCAAGGCGACGAUCCUUAGCGUGGUCUGAGAGGAUGAUCAGCCACA